rnacentral:rRNA from 1 species
AAGGGCACCACAAGAACGCGUGGAGCAUGUGGCUUAAUUUGACUCAACGCGGGAAAUCUUACCGGGUCCGGACAUACUGAGGAUUGACAGGUUGUUGUAGUUCUCCUUUUUAGGAGUUCUACUUAAAAUAUGCUAGUCCUUUCAUGAUUGUGUGAUAGGUGGUGCAUGGCCGUUCUUAGUUCGUGGAGUGAUUUGUCUGCUUAAUUGCGUUUCAUAAAAAGGACUUAAUUUUCAUCGCUUCGUUUACCUUGCGCUUAGCCCUGGUUAUAUGAUCGUCUGCUAUUUUGGGUUAAGAGUGUGUAGCUCUGUACUUUUUUAAAGACUAUAGCAGUCUGACUCAGCAUUUACUUGCUUCGAUGUCGACUGUUUGUUUUUUCCUGUGUGCAUUGCUCCACUCUUUUCCCUUUGUGCGAUUUGUAUCUAUUUCCAUUCAAUGGGUUUUGCGUCUAUGGUCGAGUGAUUGAUUUUAUACAAGUCCUGAAGGCAACGAACGUGACCGCACCCUCUUGUUGCAUCCUUUCACAUUACACGUGUAACCAACUUGUUUGGUUUAUCGGAUGCUAACUAGAGGGACCGCUGACAACUUUUAAAACAGAGGAAGGUUGCGGCAAUAACAGGUCUGUGAUGCCCUCAGAUGUUCCGGGCUGCACACGUGCUACAAUGAUUGUUGCAGUAAGCAUCUUUCAUUUAACACACAUAGGUGUUUGUGCUUUAUCUGAACUAUGGCUUUUUUUAGCUUGUGUUCGAUAACACAUUCCCUAUUGGCAACCUACUUCGAAAGUCCAGUAGGUAACCAAUUCGAAGUAACGAUUUCCCCUUGCACAUAUCUCAUGUUUCCUUGUUUGUAGUCUUGUUGCUGCUCUGUUCAGUAUACAUUGUUUCUACCUUGGAACAUGUGCUCCUUUAAUUCGUGGUGGGGACAGACCAUUGUUAAUUGUUGGUCUCGGUCUCAACUAGGAAUGCCUUGUACGGGUUGGUUCAACAAACCACCCGGAAUAUGUCCCUGCCCUUUGUACACACCGCCCGUC